rnacentral:tRNA from 1 species
GACUCACUAGUCCAAUGGUAAAGCGCUUGUCGCGGAGAUACAGGGUCCUGGGUUCGAUUCCCGGCGGGGUCG